rnacentral:SRP_RNA from 1 species
GCCGGGCGUAGGGGUGGAUGCCUGUAAUCCUAGCUACUUGGGAGGCUGAGACAGGAGAAUCGCUUGAACCCGGGAGAUGGAGGUUGCAGUGAGCCAAGAUCGCACCAUUGCACUCCAGCCUGGGUGACAGAGCGAGACUCUGUCUCAA